CAGGUUUCCUGCUCAAGAUGACAUUUCACCACCUAAGUAUUUUAAUUAAUAAAAAUAGUUGUCUAACUAAGAUUUAUCAGAAAUAAGUUUUAAUAACCGAAAGGGUUAUAGCCUAAACUAUUAUUUAGUACAUAUGGUACCUUUGGCAUCAUGGCUAAUGGAGUUUUUUGCUAAAUGUUAACAUCCCGAAUUGAAAGGAUCUAGCUAAGUUUGUAAGUUAGUGUUACAUAACUAUUUUUAAAGUUUAGUUAGUAGCUAUAAGUUAUUCCGACUUUCAAGAUAUCUGGUUUUUUUGGAAUUAUGUUUAAUAUAGACAGCUCUUUUUAAGAGGAGCUGGGUUGCCUACAGGGGCUAAGCUCUGGAGGUUGUUGUAUAUGUUUUAAAAUUAGCUUGGAAACCCUAUAAGGAUUCAACUGAAAGUAAAAGAAUUUUCUAGUACAUUACUUAGAGACAUAAAGUCCUUAAUAACUUCGUUUUAGGAAAAAGAAUCAUUAGAUGAGUAUAUUUAGAAAAUCUUAGAAAAAGGAACUCGGCAAAUACUUACCUCGACUGUUUAUCAAAAACAUAGCCUAUUUCUUAUAUCUUAGGUGGGAUCUGCUCACUGAACAAAAUAUUAAAGAGCCGCGGAAUCUUAACCGUGCAAAGGUAGCAAAAUAAAUAGCAUUUUAAUUGAAUGAUAGUAUGAAAGAAUGAACGAAGGUAUAACUGUCUCUUUCUAAAAUAUAGAAAUUAAACUCCUAGUCAAAAUGCUAGGAUAAUUGUGGUAGACGAGAAGACCCUGUAGAUCUUUACCUUCUAAAAUCUUUAUUAUAGAUUUAGAAAGUUUUGUUGGGGAAACAGAUUAUUUUAAACAUAAUCUUAAAUAGACCUUUAUCUUUAGAAUUAGAGUGACCUUUUUUGAAAAUCACAGGAAAAGUUACCUCAGGGCUAACAGCGUGUUAAAAGGUUUGGAGUACAUAUCUAAAUCUGUGUUCACGACCUCGAUGUUGAAUUAGGGUUUCUUUAGGAGGUAGAAAGCCUAGAAAGUUAGUCUGUUCGACUAUUAAAAUCCUACAUGAUUUGAGUUCAGACCGACGUAAGUCAGGUCAGUUUCUAUCUCCACUAAAUAUUAGACUCUAAGUACGAAAGGACAAGGGUGUUUCUUUAGCAAGAAAUAAGACUUUAUAAGUAAAUUCUUUAUU
rnacentral:rRNA from 1 species